rnacentral:rRNA from 1 species
UAAGCUGAGGAAAAGAAACCAACAGGGAUUGCCUCAGUAACGGCGAGUGAAGCGGCAAAAGCUCAAAUUUGAAAUCUAGCACCUUCGGUGUUCGAGUUGUAAUUUGAAGAUGGUAACCUUGGGUUUGGCUCUUGUCUAUGUUCCUUGGAACAGGACGUCAUAGAGGGUGAGAAUCCCGUCUGAUGAGAUGCCCAUUCCUAUGUAAGGUGCUAUCGAAGAGUCGAGUUGUUUGGGAAUGCAGCUCUAAGUGGGUGGUAAAUUCCAUCUAAAGCUAAAUAUUGGCGAGAGACCGAUAGCGAACAAGUACAGUGAUGGAAAGAUGAAAAGAACUUUGAAAAGAGAGUGAAAAAGUACGUGAAAUUGUUGAAAGGGAAGGGCAUUAGAUCAGACUUGGUGUUUUACGAUUAUCUUCUCUUCUUGAGUUGUGCACUCGUAUUUCACUGGGCCAGCAUCGAUUCGGAUGGCAAGAUAAUGGCAGUUGAAUGUGGCUUCACUUCGGUGGAGUGUUAUAGCUUCUGCUGAUAUUGCCUGUCUGGAUCGAGGGCUGCGUCUUUGACUAGGA